AAAUGAAUUGACGGGAGCCCGCACAAGCAGUGGAGUAUGUGGUUUAAUUCGACGCAACGCGAAGAACCUUACCGGGGCUUGACAUCCUGGGGAGACGGGGUAAAACCUGUUGUGCCUUUCGGGGAACCCAGAGACAGGUGGUGCAUGGUUGUCGUCAGCUCGUGUCGUGAGAUGUUGGGUUAAGUCCCGCAACGAGCGCAACCCUUACGGUUAGUUGCUACGCAAGAGCACUCUAGCCGGACUGCCGUUGACAAAACGGAGGAAGGUGGGGACGACGUCAAAUCAUCAUGCCCCUUACGUUCCGGGCCACACACGUACUACAAUGGCGCAAACAAAGGGAAGCGAAGCCGCGAGGCGGAGCGAACCCCAUAAAAAGCGCCUCAGUUCAGAUUGCAGGCUGCAACUCGCCUGCAUGAAGUCGGAAUUGCUAGUAAUCGCGGAUCAGCAUGCCGCGGUGAAUACGUUCCCGGGCUUUGUACACACCGCCCGU
rnacentral:rRNA from 1 species